rnacentral:lncRNA from 1 species
ACAAGGGCCGGCAGCGACAAAUGUGAACAGUACCCUGCCGACUCAGGCCGCGGCUGGUCCACCGCCUGGCUAGAGCCUGUCUUGCAGCGGUUUCUCUCCCAGUCCCAACGCGCCCAGCUGGCACACCUCCCGUGCCAGGACUCCUCGGUAAGCAGCAACUUCCCUGCAGCGCCCUUAUUAGCACUCCAGGGACGUUCAGUACAACCCUCAAGAGCUGGGGUCGCGCCAGAGCCCGCCCCCAUCCCUCGCUGUUGAUGGAUAACCUCCUUCGGAAAAUCGGCAAGGCGGUAAACUAAGGCUCCGCAGACGGGAAAUGCCUGUCGGGGACUUGGAGGUUCCCUUCCUGAAUUGACCCAGGCCGGGAGUCACAGAACUACUAGCGCUUCGCGGGCACGCGGAAUUUGGGCAGCGCCCUGCAACUCACCGGACCCAUCGGGAAGUCCCAUGGCCCUCAGAGGGUAACUCGUGUACCGCUUUUCAAACAGCUCCCCCAGGAGGCCACUACCGGCUAGAAGGUGGCGCCAGGCCCAGAACUUGGCCGGCCGCAAGCUCCACCGCUAGGAUGUGCAAGAUCAGACCAAUCAGAAUUCUGGGGGUGGAAUCCAAGUCAUACUCUCUGGGCGGGGCGAGCCCGGAGAAUAAAAUUUUAACCCUUUCCUUCCCGUCGGCCUAGCUUCUGUCCCUGCCUGCGAUUCUUGUUAACCUGCUGGGAGCUGGAGCAUUCUGCUGAGACUGGAGGACUGGAACGAAGGCCCAGCGCUACGCUUGGCCAAUGUUAUGCCUCUGUGCCCUUAAGUGGCUGGACCUAAUUGUAUGCUUUGUAGAAGGUCCCCACUUUAUGCAGAGGAGACAUUCUUGACCGAUCUGGAUGCCUAGGUGUGCAACCAGGGGCCCCAGCCUCAACUGUGGGAGAUCUAGGCCUGUAGGGUCUCUCAGGGACCACCAAGCUGUGAGUAUCACCCUCAGAUUUUUCCUUCUGAGACCUGGCACAGUGGUCCUCAAGACCAGCCCCACCCCACCUCCAUUUCUUUUUUUCCAGACAAGUUUUCUCUGUUUAGCCUUGGCUGUCCUGGAACUCUCUGUAGACCAGACUUGUCUACAGAGAUCCACCUGCCUCUGCCUAGUGAGUGCUGGGAUUAAAGAAGAGAUCAAAGGUAUUUGUCACCAUGGGUGGCUUCUUAAGCCCCCCCCCCCCCUUUCACUUUCACACCUGGCUGCCUAGACUGGAAAUGGAGCACUCAGGAUCCUUUCCAGGUCUGGAAGCUCUGGCCUGAUCCAAGUGAGAAAAGACCAGUAAGGGCCAGAGUGUGGGUGGGUAAGCAGGAACUGAAGUGGGAACGCCUAGGUUUGGGGUGACUAAUGGGCAGGGCCACAAAUGUCAGCCUCUGGAUAUUAAGGAAACCCUCAUAUGACUGCCUAGACCAGGAAAGUGGCUUCUCUUGGCGCAGCUCCUGCGCUCCAACUUCAGGCUCCAGUCACAAGGUGAGAGGCCAUAUUUCAGAAAGAAAUGGGAACCUGGUCCAAAUCUCCCAUGAAAUGGGCUAAAAAUAACUGGCUAUUUUGGAGGGAGGAGAGCUCAGAGUCCUACAAAGGUCAUCCUGGGUGAGUAUUCUCAACAGCUGAGACAGAAAGAGGAACAAGUGUUUUCUAUAGAAGUUUAUUCCCAAAACAGAGCGCGGCUUCACGGAACAAUUUACACAGACAGGAAAGAGGGCCACUGUUGGAAGGGGACCCCAGAGACGGGCAUCUACAGAACCUAGGACAUAGCAAGGACACUCUCCCAACCGACAGGCCUCUCAGCCCUUCAAGGGCAGGGGUCAGUCUGGGUAAAGAGAGCUGGGGACCUGGCUGGUGGGAUUUGGCACAGGCAGUGAAGUGGGAUUUUUUUGAAUCUCAGAAACUGCCUCCCAAGAGUAAACACAGGGUAGGGGUGGGUGGCGGCUGCACAGAACCCCGGUCCUGAGCCACUUUCGGGGCAAGCUGUUAGAAGACUCAGCUGACCUUUGACCUGGGAAAAGUUGGGAUUAGAAGCCUACCUCAAGAUGGCCAGGUCCAGGGGCAUCGCAGGUGGGUCUUUUAGGCCCCUCCCCCACUUUUUCUACCUUUCACUUGUAAACAAAGAGGGGGAAACAUUCUGAACUAUAAAACAAAGUGUGUAAGUUCAAUGGUUGAAGCUGUAAACAAUAAAUAAAACCCAACCAUGUUAAAAAAA